UACGUAGGGCGCAAGCGUUAUCCGGAAUUAUCGGGCGUAAAGAGCUCGUAGGCGGUUUGUCGCGUCUGCCGUGAAAGUCCGGGGCUCAACUCCGGAUCUGCGGUGGGUACGGGCAGACUAGAGUGAUGUAGGGGAGACUGGAAUUCCUGGUGUAGCGGUGAAAUGCGCAGAUAUCAGGAGGAACACCGAUGGCGAAGGCAGGUCUCUGGGCAUUAACUGACGCUGAGGAGCGAAAGCAUGGGGAGCGAACAGG
rnacentral:rRNA from 1 species